rnacentral:rRNA from 1 species
UACGUAGGGUCCGAGCGUUGUCCGGAAUACUGGGCGUAAAGAGCUCGUAGGUGGUUGUCGCGUUGUUCGUGAAAACUCACAGCUCAACUGUGGGCGUGCGGGCGAUACGGGCAGACUAGAGUACUGCAGGGGGAGACUGGAAUUCCUGGUGUAGCGGUGGAAUGCGCAGAUAUCAGGAGGAACACCGGUGGCGAAGGCGGGUCUCUGGGCAGUAACUGACGCUGAGGAGCGAAAGCGUGGGGAGCGAACAGG